CAAAAGGGGAAAGGGAGGGAGAUCAACUUCUCCACUCCCUUCCUUUAAGGAAUCUCCCAGGAAGUUGUGUAUAUAACUUCUGCUUUAACUCCACUGGCCAGAACUUAGUCAUAUACCAAUACCUGGAAAAUGUAAUACCUAUGGGAGGUGCUAGUGGCAAAGAACCUCCCUGCCAACAAAGGUAGAGGUAGGGAUGCAAGUUCGAUCCCUGGGGUGGGAAGAUCCCCUGGAGAAGGAAAUGACAACCCACUUCGGUAUUUUUGCCUGGAGAACACCAUGGACAGAGGAGUCUGGUGGGCUACAGUCCACAGCGUCGCAAACAUCAGACAAGACUGAAGGAACCUAGCAUGCAUUCCAAGCAAAGAGGUAUCAAACAAAAAAUUCUGAUCUACUUCUGCAAAGGAAGGUGGGGGAAGAGUUCACUGGGAGCCCGUAGGCACGAGGGACAGGCACAUCAAGCCUUCGGCCCCUGUGGCUGCUUAGAGCCUGUUGUGGUCUGCACACCCAUCUCUGCCAGGCCCGAGCUUCUGUAAUGGACUAAUCUGAUCCCAGGAUACCUCUGCUGCAGCUCUGGAAUACCUGGCUGAGAGACCUGGAUUAGACUUUUGAGAAGGAUGCUAAAGAGAAAGUGAUGGCCUUGCUCAGUGUGCACCAGCCUGCCUGGCAGCAGCAGUUCACCACAUUUUAAAUGAUGGAGGUUUGGCGAGGGAGAUGAGCAGGAUGGGAGACCCAUUAGAAGAAUGAUACAGCAUUCAGAGGAAGGUUAAAAAUGAAGCAUGUGUUAUAAAUAAUAAAACAUGUCCAACUGUGCA
rnacentral:lncRNA from 1 species